UGGGGAAUUUGGACAAUGGGCGAAAGCCUGAUCCAGCAAUGCCGCGUGUGUGAAGAAGGCCUUCGGGUUGUAAAGCACUUUUGUCCGGAAAGAAAUCCUUGGCUCUAAUACAGUCGGGGGAUGACGGUACCGGAAGAAUAAGCACCGGCUAACUACGUGCCAGCAGCCGCGGUAAUACGUAGGGUGCAAGCGUUAAUCGGAAUUACUGGGCGUAAAGCGUGCGCAGGCGGUUUGCUAAGACCGAUGUGAAAUCCCCGGGCUCAACCUGGGAACUGCAUUGGUGACUGGCAGGCUAGAGUAUGGCAGAGGGGGGUAGAAUUCCACGUGUAGCAGUGAAAUGCGUAGAGAUGUGGAGGAAUACCGAUGGCGAAGGCAGCCCCCUGGGCCAAUACUGACGCUCAUGCACGAAAGCGUGGGGAGCAAACAGGAUUAGAUACCCUGGUAGUCCACGCCCUAAACGAUGUCAACUAGUUGUUGGGGAUUCAUUUCCUUAGUAACGUAGCUAACGCGUGAAGUUGACCGCCUGGGGAGUACGGUCGCAAGAUUAAAACUCAAAGGAAUUGACGGGG
rnacentral:rRNA from 1 species